rnacentral:rRNA from 1 species
GACGAACGCUGGCGGCGUGCUUAACACAUGCAAGUCGAGCGGAAAGGCUCCUUUCGGGGGGUACUCGAGCGGCGAACGGGUGAGUAACACGUGAGUAAUCUGCCCUCCACUCUGGGAUAACUGCCUGAAAGGGUGGCUAAUACCGGGUAUUCACAUGCUGUCGCAUGGUGGUGUGUGGGAAGGGUUUCUGGUGGGGGAUGUGCUCGCGGCCUAUCAGCUUGUUGGUGGGGUAAUGGCCUACCAAGGCUUUGACGGGUAGCCGGCCUGAGAGGGUGACCGGCCACACUGGGACUGAGACACGGCCCAGACUCCUACGGGAGGCAGCAGUGGGGAAUAUUGGACAAUGGGCGGAAGCCUGAUCCAGCAACGCCGCGUGAGGGAUGACGGCCUUCGGGUUGUAAACCUCUUUCAGCACAGACGAAGCUGCCGCUACGUGUGGUGGUGACGGUAUGUGCAGAAGAAGCACCGGCCAACUACGUGCCAGCCGCCGCAGUAACAC